rnacentral:tRNA from 1 species
UAAUUAUUAAUAUAGCAAAAUAAAUGCAUUAGUUUUAGAAACUAACAAUUCUUUAA